UACGUAGGGGGCUAGCGUUGUCCGGAUUUAUUGGGCGUAAGAGCGUGUAGGCGGCCAGGUCGGUCUGCUGUGAAAACUCGAGGCUCAACCUCGAGACGUCGGCGGAAACCAUCUGGCUAGAGUCCGGAAGAGGAGAGUGGAAUUCCUGGUGUAGCGGUGAAAUGCGCAGAUAUCAGGAAGAACACCCGUGGCGAAGGCGGCUCUCUGGGACGGUACUGACGCUGAGACGCGAAAGCGUGGGGAGCGAACAGG
rnacentral:rRNA from 1 species